rnacentral:rRNA from 1 species
GCCUCGCAAGAGGAACUUGGUGACAGGUGCUGCAUGGCUGUCGUCAGCUCGUGUCGUGAGAUGUUGGGUUAAGUCCCGCAACGAGCGCAACCCUUGUCUUUAGUUGCCAUCAUUAAGUUGGGCACUCUAAAGAGACUGCCGGUGUCAAACCGGAGGAAGGUGGGGAUGACGUCAAGUCCUCAUGGCCUUUAUGACCAGGGCUACACACGUACUACAAUGGCAGGUACAAAGGGCAGCCACUUAGCGAUAAGGAGCGAAUCCCGUAAAACCUGUCUCAGUCCGGAUUGGAGUCUGCAACUCGACUCCAUGAAGUUGGAAUCGCUAGUAAUCGCAGAUCAGCACGCUGCGGUGAAUACGUUCCCGGGCCUU